rnacentral:lncRNA from 1 species
GAAAGGCAGAACCGAGGAGAGUCCAGGGGCCAGGAGGCAAGAUUAGACUUGGGAACAAAGUGGUGAAUAUGAAUGCAACCGACGGCUCUGCUGACACAGCAGAUAAUGGCUUGAAGGGUGAAAACUCCAGACCAGGUCUGCGACCAGCCUUUCACAGCAGAGAGAUGGCUCUGAAGCUUGGGAGCAGCCAGGUUGUCAGCUGUCUGACGCGGCCGAUGGAUGGGAGGCGGAGGGCAAACUUCGACAGACUUCUCCCCUCCUUACUUUCCCUCAUUCUUUUUUUCUCUCCCAACAGGAGGUUGGAUGUGCUUGAGAUUUCUGCAAAAGAAGAGGGGGGAUGGGCAGCUUACAUGUGGGGGCUCUCCCGUCAUGUCUCAGUCCUGCCCUGCACAGCGGUGUCUCCUUCGGGCUUUUCCUCACUCAGGAAGAUGUUUGUUGAGUGGCUUCUACUGUCACUACUAAAAGCGGAAGGUGCCGCGGGCACCACCCUCUGAGGUGAACUGUCAGUGAGCCCUCUGCAUUGGGAGAGCGGGCAGGGCUGCCCCGUUCCCUUGACCCCGACCUCUUUGCACUGGGAGUGGCUGGGGGGAGAGGCUUCCCUGCCCGUGGCGGAGGGGGGGAUUCUGUUUCAAUCACCUCUUCUCCACUCGUUGCUGAGGGAGGG